GUGAAGUCCCUUGUUUACUGUAUUUGUAAUUAGCCACCAAGAACUUGAGUAACCGGUUUCCGAGGAGAACAUAUAUCCUGAAUCAGUUCCUGGACAUUUGUUUGAGGUCUUGUAAGGGAAACUGAAGGGAAUUGUGUAUUGAACAGGAUGGCUUAGACCUGCUCAACUUCUGAGAAUUGAGGCAAAGUGGGCAAUCCAGAUGUAUCACUUGACUUUCUGACUACUGGAAGAAUUUCCCUUCAUUAUUGCACACCAGGGGUAUCCCACAGUGACAUUUAUUCAUCUGUCAACAUCCUCACAUGGAUAGAACUGCUCAGUUUUCCAGUGGCAAAUGGAAAUGGCUCAUACACUUUAGGACUGCAAGUGAUACUUCUCAU
rnacentral:lncRNA from 1 species